AACGUCGAGCUCAAGAAAAAAUAUGAAAUAAAUUCCGAGUGUGGAAGAUUCCGAACAAGCGGAUGUUUUCGAAAGGUCAGAAAUUAUUGAUACAACUGCAUCUGUGUCAAAGGAGAAUCAUUGCCCGGAUGAUUUUUUACAAAGUCCGGAAGUGAAAAAUUUGACUUUUCUACGCCAGAAGUUACAGCUAAUGUUCCUAAGACAAACCAGGCUUUCCUGAGUUCUGAUCUGGACAUUUCAGUUAUUGACUCUGACGUAGAAGGUAGAAAUACAAGCUCUCUUUUUUGGGGUAAAU